ensembl:lncRNA
GUGGAUACAGCAAUUUUAUCUCCACGGGCAGAGUUGCAAUAAGCCUGUUUACAUACUGACACCAACAACAUAGCAUUAGGUAUCUCUAUAACCAUCUGUGCUCGCAUGCUAAGUUGCUACAGUCGUGUCCGGCUCUUUGCGACCCCAUGGACUGUAGCCUGCCAGGAUCCUCUGUCCAUAGGAUUCUCCAGGCAAGAAUACUGGAGUGGGUUGCCAUUUCCUCCUCCACAGGAUCUUCCCAACCCAAGGAUUGAACUUGUGUGUCCUGAGGCUCCUGCAUUGCAGGUAGAUUCUUUGACCAUCCAGGGAAAUUUUAUAGAUGACUAAUUUUGUAUUUAAGCCUAGGGUUCCUCCGGGUGGAGGCUGCUGGUCACAGUAGACAGGAUCACGGGUAAUGCAGAGACGUGAUUCGCUGCACACAUGUGGCCGUGAAGCUAGAGCAGGAAAGAACAAGUCUCCUCUCGACCACGUGUGUACGUGUGAAGUUGCUCAGUUUUGCCUGACUCUUUGCGACGCCAUGGACUGUAGCCCUCCAGGCUCCUCUGUCCAGGGGAUUUCCCAGACAAGAAUACUGGAGUGGUUUGCCAUUUCUUUCUCCAGGGGAUUUUC